rnacentral:rRNA from 1 species
CCUACGGGAGGCUGCAGUAGGGAAUAUUGCUCAAUGGGGGAAACCCUGAAGCAGCAACGCCGCGUGGAGGAUGAAGGUUUUCGGAUUGUAAACUCCUUUUGUUAGAGACGAUAAUGACGGUAUCUAACGAAUAAGCACCGGCUAACUCAGUGCCAGCAGCCGCGGUAAUACGGCGGGUGCAAGCGUUACUCGGAAUCACUGGGCGUAAAGAGCGCGUAGGCGGGAUAGCAAGUCAGAUGUGAAAUCCUAGGGCUUAACCAUAGAACUGCAUUUGAAACUGUUAUUCUAGAGUAUGGGAGAGGUAGGUGGAAUUCUUGGUGUAGGGGUAAAAUCCGUAGAGAGCAAGAGGAAUACUCAUUGCGAAGGCGACCUGCUAGAACAUAACUGACGCUGAUGCGCGAAAGCGUGGGGAGCAAACAGGAUUAGAUACCCGAGUAGUC